UGCGGAAGGAUCAUUACUGAGGUU
rnacentral:rRNA from 1 species